rnacentral:lncRNA from 1 species
AACAAUCCUAGGGCCCUCGGGGGGCCAAAAAAUUACAGAAAACCGAAGCUUACCGGCGGCGGUGCUCUCGGGUGCGGCGGCUCUCCGGUGAAGUUCGUGUUUUGGUGAUUCGGCUCCGAUCAACCUGUAGAGAAAAGAAUGGUGAUCACGGUGAUAUAAAAAUUGCAUUAAACGGAGGCCGGGAAUGGCCUCAUCGGAGGUAUACCUUUUUGCCUUUUGAUCUCAGCCGUCCAUUUUGUUUUAAUAUUGGCCGUCCGUUUUUUGAUUAAAUCUGGGCCGUCCGAUCGCGCGUACGCGGAUUGCCAACGUGGCCCGUCCCCGAUCGACGUGGUUUUGCCACGUGGCAGGUCCUGGUUGGCCGGGACUGCUGACUGGGUCUGCUGACGUGGCCCCCCCUUUUUUUUUUCCUUUUU